GCGGGAAAGCCCUCUCGUGAUCCUGGUGAGCUUGAGGAGCGUGCGCAUCCGACGAGGCCGGAAGAGGCCAGAGGAGGUUGCUGGGCGUUGCAGUCGAUAUUUCUUCACUGUCAUUUUCGUCACUCUGAUCAGACUGAAGACCCGGUAGGGAUCUCGAGGCCCCGGGGAGAAUGACUUAGCCUGGGAGCCCUGGAACGUUCCCAGCGGUGGCGUGUGUGGGGCUGGGCUCGCUGCCUUCCCGGAGGGGCGCCAAGGGGUCGAAGGGGUCCUGCUUCCCCCGUCGGACCCAGGAAACUGCCUGCGGCCGCUUUGGCCCUCCCGGUGCGACUUUGAGCCUGGGCCGGGCCCUGACCUCGCAGGACGGGCCGACAGCCCUUGCCCUUGGGUGACAGGCGAUUGUUAUCCAGAUGGUGACAACCCCAGACCAGCCGCACCACCAGCCUGUUGGGAACCACGACUUGUUUCCUGCUCUUGGAGGAACUCCAGCCCCCUCUUCGCCUUUUCGGAGGCUCUAGUUCUGAGGAAGGAAGUAAACGAGGGAAUGGGCGACCGUGAGGGAAGAGGAGAGGAGCUGCGGGGGGCGGGCAGGGCGGCCCGCGAGGGAGCAGCGGGGCCCGCGCUGCAAGCUUCCCGAGCGGGCGGUUGGCCGGACGCGGCUCUCACUCAAGGGUUAAACUGGCCAAUUUGCCAGAAAACACUUUGGAAGGGCUGCUCUUCUUGAAUGUGGUGAAGGAUGGAGACUCUGGUUGGCAGAGGGCCUGCCUCCCAUGCGCAGGGCCCGGGCUCAGCCCCCAGCACCACGAGGGAAUGACGACCCCACGGCGAGUCUGUCUCCCACGUGUGCACCUGGCCUUGAGGGGCGGAGUCAGGGGUCGGUUAACCACGCGGUGCACUCUGAGAAGCAGAAAUACUUUGAGGUAUGUUCCGUUUCAGCUGCUGGCAAAUAUCUCGGAGCAGUGAAGAUUUAUGCCUCUAGGUAAGCUGACAACUCUCAGAUGUCUCCAGCUUCCCGAGCUUCCUUAACUUUUAUAU
rnacentral:lncRNA from 1 species